rfam:Ipomoea nil DNA, scaffold: scaffold0382, cultivar: Tokyo-kokei standard.
AAAAAAGCAGGGACCUUUUGCCAUCCGUGAAUGGGUCUCUCGUAGAAGUCAGGGAAAUAAAUUUGCAUUGUUCUUGGGUGAACCUCUGGAGUGCUUUGUGGACAACGAUAGAUGGUUCAGUAAAUGAUGCUACAUGU